GCACAGAUGUUAGCUCAUGGCCGGUCUUCCUCAGCAAAAAGAGGAGGGUUGGCAGCAGAUGUUAGCUCAGGGCUAAUCUUCCUUAAAAAAAAAAGUAGAAUUACACAUAAUCUCAUCAUUAUAAUAUAACAACUUUUCAUUUGCUUCUAUCUUUAUAAUCUGUCUAAAUGCACACAUAUUUUCACAUGGCUUUAAUCAUAAGUGACAUAUAGAUUUAAAAUUUUCACUUUAAUGUUAUAUCUUAAACACAGUCCAUUUAAAAAAAUAAUUUUUAAUGGCCACAUGAUAGCCCAGUGGGUUAAUGAGGCAUAAUUUACUUAACCAUACCCGUAUCAUUGGAUAUUUCAGUGAUUCUAAUUUUUCACUAUUGUAAGUAAUUAACACUAGAGUGGACAUCUUCAUACACGGUCUUCUUUCUUUUGGUUAUCUUUCUGUCAUUUAUUUUUUAACCUGAUUGGCCUGCAAUCAGAGAACAUGAUUUGUGUGGUGCUGAUUCUGGGAAACUUGUUGAGACUGGCUUUGUAUAGCCAAAUAUGUGGUCAGUUUUCAUGUAUGUUUCUUGUACUCUUAAGAAAAAUGUGCAUUCUCUGUAGUUGGAUUCAAGAUUCUAUACAUGUCCUUUUGAUCAAGCUUGUUAAUUGUAUUGUUCGUAUUUUCUGUAUUCUACUAAUUUUUGGUCAUGUGACAUCAAUUACUGAGAAAGGUAUAUGUUAUAUCCUACUAUGGUGGUGGACUUGUUAGUUUCUCUUCAUAAUUCUGUCAGUUUUUGCUGUAUGUUAUUUGAAGAUAUCAUUGGGUACAUAUAUAACUUCAGAAUUAGUGUCUCUUCCUGGUGAAUUGAAUUUGUUAUCAUUAUGUCAUUACUAUAUUUAUUCCUAAUAGUGCAUUUUUGCCUUGAAGGCUAUUUGGUCCAGUAGGAACAGAGCCACUCUAACUUUUUUCUGGUUAGUGUCUGCCUGGCAUAUCCUUUCCCAUCUUUUCUUCUUUUCAACCUUUUUAUGUGUCAGAGACUGGGUAAAUGCUCAGUCCUACAUUUCCCUACUCUUUUUGCGGUUAUGUUGAGACCACCAGAGGAAUGUGGGCAGAAGUGAUGUAUGCCACUUCUAGGUUUGGCCCCUAAAAUGUCAUACAUGGUCUUUGAUGUGCUCUCUCCCCUGUUCACAUGGCUCAAGGCAAACAACUCCAAGAUGGUAGAACUAGGAUUGAAGGAUCCCGGAUUCUUUUGUCAUUGAUUGAAGGAGCAACAGCCAGAGCAGCAGCCCGACCUGAUGAACUGUGAUGUUUUCUCUAGGACACAGCAAAUAUCUGGAAUGUUUAGUUUUGUUUUAAUCCAAUCUGAGGAUAUCUUUCUUUUGACUGAUUACCCAGAUGUACCUGAGAAAGGUUCUACAAAUUUAUGUCUCCAGGAGCAGUGAAUGAAGAGGCCUAGCUUCCCUAGAUCCUUACUGAUAUUAACAUUCUAAUUAAUUUUCAUCAGCCUUAUAUUCUAAAAAAAGUACCUUGUUUUAAUUUGCAUUUCUGAUUACUUUGUAUUCAUCAUAAUUAUUCAUUUUUUGAAUUGUGAUCCAGAAAUAGGGUUUGUAUGGUUUCAGCGUUUUGGAAAUCACUGAGAUGUACUUCAUGUUUUGCAGCUGUGCUGUAAAGGUUAGUCACAGCAGGUCUGCAAUUAACCUGAGCUGUUUGGUUAAAUUAAAGCUCUUGCUUGACACCGACUUCUGGUCAAAGGGUCAAAGCAUGAAAUGUUGAUGUAUAGUGUGUCUAUGUAACCAUGAGUCCAAAGAGUUUCAGGGCAGUUUGACCUAGCUUGUCAGCAUUGUUUAUUAAUAACAAUGAGAUUGAAGAGUUGCACCUGGUCUUGGUGUGAUACUCCCCCGCCCCCGCCCCAGGGUUCUGCUGGUUCUGCAGCAGGGCUAUGCCUAGGUGACUAGCAAAAUAUAAACAACCUCAGCAAAGACUUCGUUUUGGUCUCACUGGUUCUGAAGUGUUCUGUGCACACAUCAGUGGUUCCGGAUCCAUAAGACAUCUGGCCUGGCCCUUACAGAAAGAGGACAAUAGGAGCCUGCACCUGGCCUCUCCAGACCCCUGCUGUGAGUCAUAUGCUGUGAUGUAUAUUCUUCCAUGCUCUUGCUCUAGUGUGUCCUUUCUCUGUAAUAAACUGUAG
ensembl:lncRNA